UUUCCGUAGGUGAACCUGCGGAAGGAUCAUUAAAAAAUUGGACUCCAUUGGUGAGUUCAUUAAUAAUCCCUACCCUUUGUGAAUUUGUUUGUUUGAAUAAUUUUUUUUCCAAAAAAAAUUAUUGAAUGUCUUUCCUUGUUUUGGUGGAGCUUGUAAAGUGAAACCAGGCAGGGGAAUGGCAAACAAUAAUUAUUUUUGAAAAAGACCUUUUUUUAAAAUUAAACUUUUUGUAUUCAUUUGUCUAAAAUUAAUUUUUAUAAUAUAAGAACAACUUUUGACAAUGGAUCUCUUGGUUCUCGCAACGAUGAAGAACGCAGCAAAAUGCGAUAAGUAGUGUGAAUUGCAGAAUACGUGAAUCAUCGAAUCUUCGAACGCAUAUUGCACUUUUUUAGUUUACUAAAAAGUAUGUCUGUUUGAGUAUCAGUAAAAUAUUCUCAUAAAAAACAUUGUUUUUUUUAUGGUUAUGAGUGUUUUACAACGAUAACAAGUUGUUUCACUUUAAAUUCUUUGUUAUCAAAAAAAUCAUUAAAGCUAAUUUUAAAGAUUUUUUAAAAUUGGAUAAAAUUUUCCCGUAAAAGGAAUAACCUAAACAAUUUAAAAAAUUAAAAUUGGUUUGAUUUUUUUUGAAACCCAAAGGAAAAAAAAACGAAAUUAACUUGAUCUCAAAUCAGAUAAGAGUACCCGCUGAACUUAAGCAUAUCAAUAAGCGGAGGAAAAGAAACUAACUAGGAUUCCUCAGUAACGGCGAGUGAAGCGGGAAGAGCUCAAAUUUGAAAUCUUCAAGGUUUUACCUUGACGAAUUGUAGUUUAAAGAAGUGUUUUCUGUUGGAGUUUUGGUAAAAGUUCUUUGGAAAAGGACAUCAUAGAGGGUGAGAAUCCCGUAUUUGACCAUUAUCUCCAGCUUUGUGAUACACUUUCAAAGAGUCGGAUUGUUUGGGAAUGCAGUCCAAAAUGGGUGGUAAAUUUCAUCUAAAGCUAAAUACUGGCGAGAGACUGAUAGCGAACAAGUACCGUGAGGGAAAGAUGAAAAGAACUUUGAAAAGAGAGUUAAACAGUACGUGAAAUUGUCAAAAGGGAAGCGUUUGACACCAGUGUUGUUUUCUCGAAAAUCAAUUAAAAAAGGCCGGAUUUUGUGUUGUAUUGACUUUAUCAGCUUUCUGCACUCUUUUCUUGUCUUUUUUAAUGCACUUUUCGUUUAACAAGUCAACCUCAAUUUCUUUUGUUGUAAAAGGGUCAUUGGAAGGUGGCUUUCUUUUCGGAGAAAGUGUUUAUAGCCUUUGGCCUCUGCAAUCGGAGAGAUUGAGGUCUGCAGCGUAGAUCCUUCGGGUUAGAUACAUUUGUGCUAAGUUAUAGCCUUUCAUAGACAACUUGUUGACUAUGAUCAGUCAUGUAGCUUACUCGCUUAUGCUAUUUUACCUACGCUUAGGAUGUUGAG
rnacentral:misc_RNA from 1 species